rnacentral:rRNA from 1 species
AUACGAAAGGUGCAAGCGUUGUUCGGAUUUACUGGGCGUAAAGAGAGUGUAGGUGGUUUAUUAAGUCGGAUGUGAAAUCCCGGGGCUCAACCUCGGAACUGCAUUCGAUACUGAUAGGCUAGAGUUUGGGAGGGGUAAGCGGAAUUCCGUGUGUAGCAGUGAAGUGCGUAGAUAUACGGAGGAACACCUGAGGCGAAGGCGGCUUACUGGACCAAUACUGACACUGAGACUCGAAAGCGUGGGUAGCAAACAGGAUUAGAUACCCUUGUAGUCC